GGACCUGCUGUGGCAUUUAUCUGGGGCUGACUGGUGAGCUGAAUGUACCAAUUAGAGAUGUCUGCGGAUGUCGGGACGGGUGGAUACGGAGGGCUGUUAGCCGCUUGGCUGCCCGGCUGUGGCAGAAACCACGGAGGAGCCAUAGAUCCCAGCUACCAUAUGAUCCCCAGAUGUUCCCAAGCCAACUGCAAGAUGAUUUCUUCUUCAUUGCAUCCUGGGCUUGCUCUUGGGUCUUUGUCCAGUUAUGUACCUGGUAAUGCUCUAGUGGGGGAGUAACAGAACUAAUCCUUGUAAGGAAGGGGAUUGUCUUCCUUUUUUGACCUGGACCAAAUCCAUGAAAGCAAAAACACCGGAUAAAAAGGCAUCGGAAAGAUUAUUUAUCUAUUAUCUGACUAUUCUAGUCUGUUAGGACUCACAGCCUACAAAAUGUUUGUGAUGAAUUUAUGCUUUUAGGUCAGGAUGGUUCUGUAGAGCUGAAGUUCAAUCAGAACCUUAUCUACCACACAACUUUAUCUCCUAAACACACCAAAUUUCUCUAACUCCUGCCCGUUGGCUUAUCUCAGACCAUGUGUGGGGAAAAGCUAGAGGCUCCUUAGAGACUAAGCUAAUCCCAGGCUUCAGAGUGUCAGCAUGUUUCCCUCCGAAAUUCCAUGACACACUAAAACACAACUCCUUGUUCUCAACAUACUCUUGGUUCAAAUAAAAAAUGUCAAUGUUUAAAAAUAAACUAAGCUCAGACGAGAAAUAUUUCAAGGCUUUUCCCAUCUUACAGCAGGGAUCAUCACUAUAUAUAAUAGAGCGAGGGUCAGAUUAAACUCUCUCUCUCUCUACCCUAGUUACAAUGCACCUAAAUUUACAAUUCUUUUAGGAAACCAGUCUCUGAGCUUUUGUAAUGGUUCAGUAAGCUAGUCCUGUCAGGUCAGACAUUACAGAUAUUACACUGAUGUUUUUCUGUUUAUUACUCCUUGGAUUUGUCAAUUUAAACAGAGGAUCAACACACACAUAUAUAUAAAUCAAAAAUGUAAUCAAAUGUUACACACUGUUUUGGAAACUAUACACAACAGAUGACUGAAAACUAUAAAGUGCUGAAAGAUAAAUGAUCAUAAUGCCACACACCACUGCUCUAACUUUCAGAGCGCAAAUUAAAGUGCCAUUAAACUAUGAGUGGACAAAAUAAGAAGACAAUAUUUGCAAAGCCAGAAGAUUUGACUGAUCACAAAUGUUUUUCACAAGAAGAAAAAAAAUAAUAAGGGCAUAUACACAAAUUUACUGUAUAUUUUUUGCAUUGAUAUCCUGAGGAUAAGGAUGGUGGAAAACAGGAUUUUUUUUUAAACAUUUAGUUGUUAGAAUUACUUUAAAUCGUAGGGACUUCGUAGUAUAAAUCCAUUUUUUUUCUGUUUUGGCACAGACUAACAUGCGUAGAAGAAGACCACUGUCCCAAUGCACAUUUUGUACCAAAUUAGAAGGUAUUAAGUUUUCUAACUAAACUCCUGGCAGCAGGCCUUCACCAUUGCCUUACAUUUCGACGCACGUCCGUUGACCUCUCUUUUGUUUCACACUGAUAAGCAUCUCUAGAUGUUUAGAUCUGGAACAAAUGUUGCAUUCUAAUACACAAAAACACAAUGAAGUUAAUUAAGGACAGCAUUCAUCAUUUUUUGUCACGUGCUUAAAUGACGUAAAAGUCCUUGAGUCAUGGCAGUGAUAUAUUUUUCUCCAAAAAAUAUAGUCAAAGUUUAUUAACUUCUCUUAAAAGAAUUUUUAUUUAGCAGAUGACACUCUUUUUGCUUAUACCAUAGGUUCUUGUCCAUGAUCUCAUUUCAUCUUAAAUCUACAUACCACAGUGAUCCUGAAUGCUUGAUUCUGAUUGGUCAGGACGUACUGAUUAAUCUUUUAUAACAUAUAUAUCUAACAAAUCACAGGUUUAUGUGAAUACACUUCACAUGUGUUUUAUUUUGUAAUUAUGGAUAUGCAAGGAGUCUCUAUUGACAAUUUGCAGUUUGUUUCUUUUUAAUUUCACAAUAGAGGAGAUGACAGUUGAUAGUUGCUAUAGCAUAAGUGAUUACAGCAGCUACACAACAUUAAAAAUAACUCACUCACUCACUUUCAGUAAUCACUUUUCUUCUCCUGAUAAAUUUACAGAGGAUCUGGAGCCUAUCCUGAGAACACUGAACUGGAGUCCAUGGCAGGUCAUUGAAUAUCACUAAUGGAGAAAAGGAAAAGUGGAUCUUUCUUCUCUGUUUGCGGUACAUCUGUGGCCGGCCGCGCCUGGACCUAUGCUGCGGUUUUACUCUAAAGAGGCUAAAGAUCAGCAUAUUCACAGCUCCAUACUGAGCCCAGCUCCCACUGUGGGUUACUGAUUACAUGCUCUCAGUGAAUCCUGGGAGGCAGAUUCAAAAGCAUGAUAUUAUUCAAUUCAGAAAAGAAUUCCAAUAACAUAGUGAGGCUCCUGAGAUUUCUGAGACAUUCAACAACCUUUUCAUGGCUCUCAUUUGCCUUUGUCCUAAAUUUCACAACCUGAAAUGGUAGAAGACUUUAUGAAAUAUUGAGAAAUUCCCUUAGUUCUGCCUUUUAAUUUUAGACAAAGGUGCUGGUGCUGAUUUUUUAUUUUUUUUUUUUCUUGUGCAAGGAGUUUUUUCCCGAACAAAGGUGAGCAGCCUGUUAUCUCACCAUCUCUAUUAUAAAUGCUCAUGGCAUCCUACAAUGUCUCGUUGCUUGGUAACAAGUUUCUCAUUAAAUUUCCUUAAAGCAGUCCUGACCCCUGACUCUCAGAGGAGAAUUGAAAAGGCAUGAAAUUAAGACCUAUUCACUUAACCACAACCUUCACAACCUUUUAAACUCUAUGAAUCCAAAAAACUGGUCCCACACUUCACACUUGUAGCUACACACCCUUCUUAUUACUCUCACAUUAGUUACUGGAUAAUGUUGCAGAACAAAAGGUUCAGUGUUUUCUGAGCAAACAAUGUUCUGCAGGUUUGUCAAAUGUCCUGGGUGUUUUGAGAACCAUAAUUUAAACAUCUGUAAUGUUCCUGCAAACUGUUCAUGGAAGGAAUGUAUCUCUAAUAUUUCCUUAAUGUUACAUCAAAGUUUCAGAAAGUAGCGUUUUCCUACAUUAUCAUAUCGAAAAGGUUCUAAGAAGAUUAGCUCUCAGAGAUAAUGUUCUCAGAGAUUAUGUUCCUGCAGACGUAUAGUAACAGCAUGAAAUCAAUCAUUACUGCAGCCAAUGUUUUAGCAAUUCGAAUGUUGCAGUAAUAUUUCAUUCAAUUUCAUUUAUUUUUCAACAGAUUCUGAAAAGGAUCAGAGAAUAUAUUAUUCCAAAUCUAUCAUUCCUGCAACCUUGUAAUGGCAUUGUGAAGCAAACUAUUAUUACAAUAUUAAUAUUAUUGUUAGUAUUAAAAAGGUUUUAAGUAAGAUUCUAGAGAUUCUAGUGUAAAAUCAAGACCUAACGUUCCAACAUUUAUUUUAUUAUGGCUUUUGUUUAUUUUAUUAUUAUUGUCAUUGCUUCAUAAUACUUUUAGAAGGUUGCAGGGAUGUUCUGAAACAUGAUAGUGUCCAAUGUUUUAGAAUGUGUUCAAUACUUGGAGAAUAUAGUCAAUGGAGACUGUAAUGUUCUAGAGCUAGAACGUUCCUGCAACCAUUUUAAUAGCAGUGUGAAGCAAAUUAUUUUGUAUAUAUAAUGUAACCUGUUUAGAACUUAUUUAUUUACUUAUACUUAUUUAAUACUUGAAUAAAAAUGCGAAAAAUAAUUUCCAAUGCAAUGUUCGAAAAACAAUUGAUGUAAAUAUGGUUUACUUUUCAAUGUAAUUAGGUUUCAGGAACGUUAUUUCUGGACCAUUACCUUCUAACCAUUUAACCUUGCUAUAAACUGUUAAAUAUGUACUGAACAUUAUAAAUACUCGUGGAACAUGCUGGAAUGCUAAGUGUUAAAGUGGUUAAGCUCAUGUUGUCAUGACUACACAUAAACUAAAAAGUAAUUACUAUACAGAGAGCUUAAAGUGCAUUCGACUUAAAUGUGCCAUUUGCUCCAUCAAAAAUUAAUCAGUGCAGGAUUAGGAACAAUGCCACCAGAUUGAAUUUCUAUUUUUCCCCACUGAAUUUUAUAACCUAAGACCAUGGAUUUUAUGACCUCAGGUAAAUACCAAAGGAUGCUGGAAACUGGGAUAGAAGACAGUAGCCUUGGCCUUGUGAUUCAACUUGACCAGGCAUGGUUGUAUAAGAGCAUUGUGUGUUUGAUAAUAAGAAAGGACAACGGAAGGGAGGGAGUGAUGUCCUGGAGUGUAGCUUUCCAGAUGUUCCUCAAAGGAUAUGACUUCAUUCCUAUAAUAACUGUCUGUCCAGGCAAAACAAGUUGCAAGUCAAAAUGACACCACAGUAACCUACUGUAUCAAUAAAGCCUACAAUAGUUCAGCUUCCUGUCAUGUGUGUACACCCAGGAUGAAAUACGCAGAGACAAUAGCGCUGCAUUGUAUACAGCAUUCCACAGGUCUAUAUCUGUAACCAAUUUCACAAAUAUGUUGUGUCCUGAAAUAGAACAAUGUUUACCCAGUAUUGCCUCUGAUCGUCUAUUUGCACAUAUGUAGUGUGUAUGUAUUUAAUUAUUUACUGGUGUAAAGUGAAAUGGUCAAUAAAGCAUUAUCCUAUUA